rnacentral:rRNA from 1 species
CCGAUGGAGGGGGAUAACUACUGGGAACGGUAGCUAAUACCGCAUAACGUCGCAAGACCAAAGAGGGGGACCUUCGGGCCUCUUGCCAUCGGAUGUGCCCAGAUGGGAUUAGCUAGUAGGUGGGGUAACGGCUCACCUAGGCGACGAUCCCUAGCUGGUCUGAGAGGAUGACCAGCCACACUGGAACUGAGACACGGUCCAG